UGGCAGCUGCUGCCGGCAAGAGCGGGAAUCACCGACAGGAGUUGAAUGUUGGAGCUGGCAUUGAUAUUGCAGUAGAGCCAUGAAACCUCUCACUUGUGCAAUGUCAUACAAAUCAGUUCUCAUGCCAACAAGUAGAUUGGACGGAGCUGUGUGGCGGGACGUGCUCCCCUGGCUGGGAGGGCAGCUCCUGAGAUCCAUCCCCACACAAUCCCUGAAAAUUAACAUACAUGCAGGUAUCCCCCAAAAAUGCCAAGGCAGUGGAAAGAAUUCAGAAAGGUUCAUUUUGAAGACAAGAACAUUCAAAAGCAUACAAAGGAAAUUCUGCACCAGCUACAAGAGCACUGGGCCUGAGAAAGUCACUGAUCUCUUCCAGGUUUCUCUAGUAUCGCUGCCCCCCCGGCUCUCUCUGGCCCUGUAGCGUGUCUGUAAGCGUUCUCUCUGUGCUCCCGUUCCAGACAGAGAGGCUGAGAACUUGUCUGGUAAUGGGGGGAGGGAGAAAGCAGCCAAACUGCCUUUGAGAAAGAUGUUCCUUUUAGGCAGAAAAGCCUUCCUAAGGACCUAACUCUGUCUCCUCAUAACAAAAUCUUCUGCAAGACUAUUCUAUCCUCACAAUCCCACCCAGACAGUGAGGUCACAGCAGGCCUGUGAGGUCACAGAGCCCCGUGGUCCCACAGCACCACAAUGACCGACCACUCAGUCCCUUACUGCAACUGUUGCGGCAGCAGCGGCGGCGGCAGCAGUGUCAGAUUUGGUGGCGUUUGGACAGUGAUUACUGGACAGUGAUUACUGGACAGAGAUUGUACAGCAGCGGUGUCAGGACAGCGGUGUCAGGACAGCGGUGUCAGGACAGCGGCGGCAGCAGUAGCUGCCGGACGGUGUGAGGGCGAGGGGCCAUGGCCCUUGCCCUCCGCCUCUUCCUCCUCCUCCUCCUGGCAGUGGCCCUGCACGCCAGGGCUGCCCAGGCUGCUCCGGUGCCAGCGCGGGGAGCAGAUGAGAACACUGGGAAUGCUUCCCCAUUAGACUGGCUGCGUAAAGUUUUGCAGCCCUUGCAGCCUCCUGCAGGGGUGUCUGCAGGGAGGACUUUUCCAGCUCCUCUUCUGGUUCCUCGGCCCAAACUUGUCUCACACGGCAGGGGUGAGUAGUCUGUCCCUGCUGACCUCACAGGCUGAGCUCCGGUUUUCUCUAAUCCGUUCAUGUUAAAAGGAACUGCUUCCCAUUCAGGUCCUC